GUUUUCAUGUCGGUUUUGUUAUGUUUUUUUCUGGUCACGUGACACAUGAAUGUGAAGACAAAUGACUGCGCUGCAUUUCUCUGUAUAAUUUUGCAUUGGA